AUUGAACGCUGGCGGCAGGCCUAACACAUGCAAGUCGAGCGGAUGAAGGGAGCUUGCUCCUGGAUUCAGCGGCGGACGGGUGAGUAAUGCCUAGGAAUCUGCCUGGUAGUGGGGGAUAACGUCCGGAAACGGGCGCUAAUACCGCAUACGUCCUGAGGGAGAAAGUGGGGGAUCUUCGGACCUCACGCUAUCAGAUGAGCCUAGGUCGGAUUAGCUAGUUGGUGGGGUAAAGGCCUACCAAGGCGACGAUCCGUAACUGGUCUGAGAGGAUGAUCAGUCACACUGGAACUGAGACACGGUCCAGACUCCUACGGGAGGCAGCAGUGGCGAAUAUUGGACAAUGGGCGAAAGCCUGAUCCGGCCAUGCCGCGUGUGUGAAGAAGGUCUUCGGAUUGUAAAGCACUUUAAGUUGGGAGGAAGGGCAGUAAGUUAAUACCUUGCUGUUUUGACGUUACCAACAGAAUAAGCACCGGCUAACUUCGUG
rnacentral:rRNA from 1 species